ACUUCAAAUUGCUUCUUGGAAGCAGCUCUCUACUGUCAGGAUGUGUCACAGAUGACGCUGGGAAAACGAUUUUGUCCCUUAAGAUAGCUCUCCAGGACAAAGCAUUUAGCAUGUCCUUAAAACACUGGAUUUGAGAUUAGAGGAAUGAAACCAAAUUCAAAACAGUGAUCAGCAUUUUGCCAUAUGCGGUCCCCUAACUCCAUAGUCACUGUAAUGCAAUAGCUGCCAUUACUUGAGCACAGCCGAUGUGCCAGGCAUCAGAGAUGCACUGCGGUGAAUACACACUAUCCUCGAAAGAACCCUAGAACUUGGUAUGACUGCUGUUGUUACUGGGAGAACACUAUGCAAAUGAGGAAAGUGGGGCUGCAAGUGGAAUUAGAGCGUCAACAGGACAGGGAGCAGGCAGGGUUGGAACCCAGGUCGGCCUGGUCCCUUAUCGUGCUCCUCCGGGCAUGGGUGACAGAGGGAGGAAGGAGGGAGAAAUGGAGGGAAAUGGAAACAGGGGAAGCACAGCAGUCACACGGCAAGUCAAUGACCAGGACGUGGUUCGGUGAAGCUGAGAGCUAGGAGGGAUUUUUAGAAAACCAUGAUUUCAA
rnacentral:lncRNA from 1 species